AACCAUACGAAGCUCCAUAUAAUAAUUACCAUCAUGCUAAGUACCAAUGGCGGUGUACAAAUUAUCAUCUACUAGGUAUGAAGAAGACUACAUCAGAUAUAUAUAAUCUAAAUGUUUAAGGAUUUAAUCUAACAUGUAGCUAAUCCAAGUGUAAAUCUGGAACUGUUUUCUCCUAUUUCUCUUUAAAAUUUAUUUUUGGUACCCAAAAUAUUCUGUUAUAUCUAGGAAACUCUACCUUCUUCUUAAUUUAUUAAAACCACCAAAAUGGUUUUAAAUUUUAAAAAAAAUCAAAUAUAUGGUUAAUGUUAAGAAAGAACUUGUUUCUCAUAAGUUAGAUUUGUCAUCCAUAUUAUUUUUUAAUUUUAAAUAAAUAAAUGAAAAUAUGGCUGAAAAUUGACUUUAGUCAAAAUCAUUCACAUCAUCAACAAAAAUAGCAUAUAUAAUCAGUUUCAGCAGAAACUGGUGGAGCCAACCAAAAUUAGAUGAAAACCCGGCAAAAGCUGACUGAAACCAAACACUUCAGAAAGUUUUGCAUGCUUCUUGGCCAAAAUUUCAAUCCUUGCCUCUUGCUGUAUGUUUAAAAUUUGAAGAAACCAUGGCUUAAUAUGAUGGCUGAAUAACAGUACAAUGGACAUUACUUUGGUUU
rnacentral:lncRNA from 1 species